rnacentral:rRNA from 1 species
UACGGAGGGGGCUAGCGUUGUUCGGAAUUACUGGGCGUAAAGCGCACGUAGGCGGACUGGAAAGUCAGGGGUGAAAUCCCGGGGCUCAACCCCGGAACUGCCCUUGAAACUCCCGGUCUUGAGGUCGAGAGAGGUGAGUGGAAUUCCGAGUGUAGAGGUGAAAUUCGUAGAUAUUCGGAGGAACACCAGUGGCGAAGGCGGCUCACUGGCUCGAUACUGACGCUGAGGUGCGAAAGCGUGGGGAGCAAAC